ensembl:snoRNA SNORA75 Small nucleolar RNA SNORA75
GCCACGAUGCUCUUCGCUUUAGGGGCAAUUAAAAUGACUACAGAUUGGUGGCAGUUUAUGGAUUUGCACAAGAAGAGAGAACUCACAGAACUAGCAUUAUUUUACCCUCUGUCUUUACAGAGGUGUAUUUGGCUGUUUUGUUAGCCAUUC